GACAGGAGGAAGCAACUGGCGAAGCUGCGUGUCAAGGCUGAGAAGGCAGCCGAGGAGAAGCUGGGUCCUCAGCUGGAGAUUCUUGCUCCGAUCAAAUACUGAGAAGCUUUGCUUUCGUGCAUCAUCAGUUUUGUGAAACAUGUGCCCCCUUAUUCCUAGUAGUAUGGUGACUCAUGAUAGUACAAUCAAGGUGUUUAAACCGUUGUUAUGCAUCCCAG
rnacentral:misc_RNA from 1 species